UGGGGAAUAUUGCACAAUGGGGGAAACCCUGAUGCAGCGACGCCGCGUGAGCGAAGAAGGUUUUCGAAUCGUAAAGCUCUGUCCUAUGAGAAGAUAAUGACGGUAUCAUAGGAGGAAGCCCCGGCUAAAUACGUGCCAGCAGCCGCGGUAAUACGUAUGGGGCGAGCGUUGUCCGGAAUUAUUGGGCGUAAAGGGUACGUAGGCGGUCUAUUAAGGCAGGUGUGAAAGCGUGAGGCUUAACCUCAUUAAGCACUUGAAACUGAUAGACUUGAGUGAAGGAGAGGAAAGUGGAAUUCCUAGUGUAGCGGUGAAAUGCGUAGAUAUUAGGAGGAAUACCGGUGGCGAAGGCGACUUUCUGGACUUUUACUGACGCUCAGGUACGAAAGCGUGGGGAGCAAACAGG
rnacentral:rRNA from 1 species